rnacentral:rRNA from 1 species
CGUAACAAGGUCUCCGUAGGUGAACCUGCGGAGGGAUCAUUACACAAAUAUGAAGGCGGGCUGGAACCUCUCGGGGUUACAGCCUUGCUGAAUUAUUCACCCUUGUCUUUUGCGUACUUCUUGUUUCCUUGGUGGGUUCGCCCACCACUAGGACAAACAUAAACCUUUUGUAAUUGCAAUCAGCGUCAGUAACAAAUUAAUAAUUACAACUUUCAACAACGGAUCUCUUGGUUCUGGCAUCGAUGAAGAACGCAGCGAAAUGCGAUAAGUAGUGUGAAUUGCAGAAUUCUGUGAAUCAUCGAAUCUUUGAACGCACAUUGCGCCCUUUGGUAUUCCAAAGGGCAUGCCUGUUCGAGCGUCAUUUGUACCCUCAGGCUUUGCUUGGUGUUGGGCGUCUUGUCUCUAGCUUUGCUGGAGACUCGCCUUAAAGUAAUUGGCAGCCGGCCUACUGGUUUCGGAGCGCAGCACAAGUCGCACUCUCUAUCAGCAAAGGUCUAGCAUCCAUUAAGCCUUUUUUUCAACUUUUGACCUCGGAUCAGGUAGGGAUACCCGCUGAACUUAAGCAUAUCA